GAUUAUCGAAGGAUUAAUAGUAAGACCUUAAUUCAUAAUC
rnacentral:ncRNA from 1 species